CUGUUGUAUUGAAUUAGAGUUCACAGUUGUACCUAAUAAAGUGGAUAAUCGCAGGGGUGGAUCUACUGGGGUGGCAUAGGGUGGCAACUGCCACCCCUAGAAGAUGCCUUGCCACCCCGGCUGCCACCCCAGUUCUGAACAAUCUAAUUCAAAAAUAUGUAUAUGAAAGGUUGUGGCCGUAAAGAGCGAAAGUCCAGGAAAGACGAAUAACGAGUGAAACUCCGAUGUCCGAGUGCUUUCGAAUGCACCAUGCUGAUGUCACGUCCUGUACAGUCUAUGCUGCUACAGAUAGGAGGUGACACGCCCCCCUGAGGGAGCUGCUCUUAGACCUCACUCAUGUGGAUGACAGCUGGACUUCGGUGUGACAGAGAAGAAGAAGGGAACCACCAGCAGCUUUUCCCAGCCUAAAAGAAGAGAGGAGGAAGAACAUCCCAGAGAGGAGAUGGAGGAGGAAGAGUUCAGAGAAAGAAAUGAAGGCAUGGAGAGCUCAGACAGAGAAAGCCUCUGUAAAGCGACUGCAGCUCCUUCCUGGUGAACUGGGUCUGGGCUUGGAGCUGCUCGAGGCCUUCAGGCUGGUGACGCACCAUCGAGAGCUCAAGAUCGCUGUCACAGCUGUCUGUCGCAUGGAAACAGAGGAAACAGGGAGAGGUGGAGGGCAGGAGGAGGAAAAGAGGGAGGAUAUAGUGGUAAGACAAGAAGGAAAGAAAAAGGAAAUGGAGGCCAGUGGAGGAGUUGAAAAUAGUGGAAAAUCAAGAAGAUAAAUAAAUGAAAAUGAUGUCAAAUAACUCAAAAUGCUCACCAUCUUUAUAGAAACGUAAAAUUAAAAACAAACCAAAGUGGAGGGGUUGAAGAAGGAAAGGUGGGAGAAGGGAAAAGGUGGGAGAUACAAUGGCAUGAGAAGAGUGUACAGCGUCAGACUAAAACAAGAAAAUGAGACUGAAGGAAAGACAGAAAAGUGGUAAAACAAACUCAAGGAACUUGUGGCAAGAAGAGAUAUUGCAAGGAAACUGGAGCGAUACGAGGGGGAUAAAGCAGAUUUAGUGCAUCAGAGCAGUUAGAUAGGGAUAAAAACCUUCUUCAGUGUGGACACUUUGCUGUCACAUUGUUAGAAAUAACGCCAUCAUUCUCAGUUUCAUCAUUUUCUGCAGUACUCAUUAGUUAUGAAUCAUUUGGCAUAGUGUAAAGGUCAGUGCAAUAGGUGGAUUUUGUGCUAAAUCCAUGAGAAAAAUUAAACAUCUAUCAUGAGUUCAGAUUUUUAAAUUACCAUGCCUUAAAGAAUUCACCAAUAUUAGUGUUCGUGUUAGAAAAUAUUAUCUCAAAAUCUAUAGAAAAUAUUAGGGUUGUCUGAUAAUAUUGGCCCACCGAUACUAUGGGCUCGAUAUUGGCAUAAAAAUGUGAUAUCGGUCAAUAUCGUUAUCGGUCAUUUGAGAUUGCAUUCAGUGGGGCAUCACAGUAAAAUUAGGCAUGAUGUGUUAAUUCCAUGUGAUGUUACCUAAAAUUAGUUAAAUAGCCCACGUAUAUCGGUAUUGGUUGAUAUUGGAAUCGGAAAUUAAGAGUUGGACAAUAUCGGCAUAUCGGUUAUCGGUUGGCAAAAAAGCCAAUAUUGGACAUCCCUAGAAAAUAUAUUUAAAAAACAUAAUGCUAUCAAUUAAAUUCAUGUUUGUCUCUAAGGUUUAUUGUGAAUUUUGUCUCUUUUUUGUCAAAUGAAUUACACUCAACAUAGUAAAGGGCAUGUAGAGAGACACACCAUAACUUUACUGUAUGUGGUUCAUAUGUCGGAUUGCUGGAUUAUUCACGUGUAUUAUUAUAUCAAUAUUACAUUUAAAAAAUAUCAUGCUCAUAUCAAUAUCUGGUAUACUGCGACAUCCCUAAUAACUUCUAGCUUUGAGUGGUUGUGUUACCUGACAUAUAUGCAACUAUAUGUAGCUCCAUUUAUGACAUUUUAAAUCAACUUGUUUUGGCCUUAUUAAAAUCUCCAUAUUGUGUUUUUUUUAGGUGCCAGAAGACACAUAAUGAGCAAAAUAAGUAGCUAACACCAUAGUGGAGCCUUCCACACAAGCUUGCAAGGUGGGGAUUUGAUCAAUCUUUGUCAGAAUCGUUAUUUGGUUUGAACAUGUAUGGCUGAAUUACUCCACUAUUACUAUUAAUUUGACACUGUGUAUUGCAGAAUAGCCUUACAGUGUCUGAGCAGAGGUGAGCUGGUGUGCUCAAGCUGCAGCGGGUGGUGAAGAUUUACAUAAAGGUGUGGAUUUUGAUUUGCGUAAAGAGCAUGAAAGGAUAGUUUUGUUGAAAUAUGUAACUCUGAUAGACAGUUUUGAGUCUUUCAGGGUUUAAUCAAUGACUGGAAAGGAGUUUUAAUCGUUCACAGACCACAGUUCUGAAAAUCAAAUAGAAAGGAGCAAGCAAGAGAUGAUCCAAAAUGCAGCAUUUCUCCUGAGCUAAAAGCAGAGAGCCAGUACAUCCAGCUUACACUUAAAUUAAGUCUUUACUCAAACCUGUGUUUGAAAAAUCAAGAUGUCCACUAUGAGAAAAGGUUUAUUACAUCAGCUUAAGGGAGAAAAAAGUAAACAAAACUUACAGUUGAAUGCAGAAUUAGCAGGGAGCCUCUUGAAAAGACAGCUAGGAAUAAAUCAAACUAAAUAAUAGUAAUGUACGGAGGAAUACCCCUGUGCUGUACUCACCAUCUUUACAGGAAAGUCACACAAAUAGAGGGAAAAGACAAAGGAGAAAGUGAGAAGAGUGUGGUAAAAUAGUUGGCUUAAUUCAAAUUUCACCAACACGGUAAAUGCACUGUUAAAGAACAGGCUCACGCAUUUUCAGUUCCAUCUUCAAAACAACAUUGAAAGCUUUUGUCCAUUAAGAAAACUUUCAAAGUUAGUCUUUUCAGUUUUUCUUUUUGUCCCGUACACUUCCGCUCAACAAGAAAGUGUCCGAGGAAACACAAAAAGGGAAUUCAGUACUGGAUAGUCUGGUACGAACGAACAAAAAGAACUAUUACAUUGACCAAAAACACUGUGUGAACCUAUUCUUUAACAUUUUACAGCCUGUAUGACUUCAGUUACUUAUGAUUUUGAUGUCAACUAAGCUAAAUACCAAGAAUAUUAUUAUGCUGCAAAUACAGAAGUUUUUAGCCAGUUUAAUUUCUCUUAAGUUGUCUUACCUUCCAGGGACAACGGCUCCCAAAUCCCAAACUGUUUGAGCACCACAAUAAAUAGUCCAACAACAACAGCAAUGGCAAUUACUUCCAUGCCAUCCAAACCCAUUGUUGCCUUGCAUUAGAUGUCACCUCUGCAAAACCUUCUUCCAAAAAAAAAUUCCUUAAUUCUAACAAACCUUUCCCCAAUUCAAAACUGAGCAGCUUGCAUCUACAGACGUCACCUGCUGCCUAUCAUCUCCUUCUUCCAGUCGCCUCCUUUUAUCUUUUUAAUCAGUGCAAUAGUACCAGCAUCAGCAGUUAUUGCCAGACUUGAACCGCUGACCAAUUAGGACAAAAGCUAGCGGAGUGAUGGCUUCGUUAAGUGAACAGGUCCAGCGUCCAUCAAGUGCAAAUAUGUAAAAUCAAAGGUUCUCAGCUGCCUCAAAUCAUCCAAAGUUGCCUCCACUCGAUCCAUCUCGGUUGCUGAUCAGCAACAUUUUCACAGUCCGUUCAUUUUUAGGAUCUUUGCCACAACACCAUCAACUCUGAGCUCCACUUUCCUCCAUCUGCUCCGUCCUGAGCUGUGUGAGCGUUACAUGUGUUUGAGGUUGGUGGUGAGGGUGGCUGGGUGGAGCGAGGGGGCCGUUACUGAAGGAAUUUCUUUACUAAUAGUCUCUGAUUGACAGUCUAAGCGGUCUUUAUUUGCCCAGUCAUUUCAAGGAUGCAAAACUGUAAAACCAAGCAUUGAUCCGCAUCUGCUGAUGGCUGGGAUAUGAACAGCACUUAGAAUCGGCCCUGCCCUGUGUGGCGCUGCUCGUGUCUACUGGGUUUGUUUGGCGAUGCGAACACUCAAUAACUCAGAUGGACUCCACUCAGAGCUGAAAAAACAACGAGAGCAAGCGCGACUGUAAAAACAGUGCUUCGUUUAUGGCAUCGUAAUGAAGCUAAAGUGAAUUAUAUCCACGUUGCAGAGAUGCACUGCACGCCUCACAGGUACAUGUUGCUGCCGACGGCCUCGGCAGCUCACAUGCAUGCGUCAAAGUACUUUUUUCCACAAGUCCUACUGCUGCUGAGUCGCUGCAUGAUUAUGCUGUGUUGGAGGAUAAUGAGAGUAAAGAAGAAUAUGAGUUCACAUACUGAUGAGUCUGCACAACGUAAUGGACUCAGUUUAAGUAGGAAAGGGGGGCGGGGAGCAAAUCAAUUGUUGAGAGGUAAAACAUUGGUCUGUGAACAGGCUGAGAAAGUGGGCCAGAUAUGCAUUUCGAUGGCCGGGGAGGCUUUAUGUAAGUUAAAGACUUCAAAUGGAUUCAUCCUUAAUGUCAAGCAGUCAAACAGCUUCUGAAAUAGCGUGAUGCUAUGCCAAAAAUACACAGAAAUCUCAGUCCUGGAGCUGCAGAACACCUCACUGAUAAAGUUGUAUGCUAACAGAAAAAUGUGACUUUUAGCUAAAAUGUGGUAAAAUUAUAAACCAAGGACUAGUUUUAAUUGCUUUGUGCUUUUUGAAUUGCACCAUCCUACAUUUUACGCUCUAUCCUUCUAAUAUCAUAUAACUUUUAUGAGUCAACAGGACAGGAACUAGUUAUCUCAACCAUGCAAAUGUGGAUUUUUGCAAUACUGUCGAUGCGAGGGUCAAUUCUACUCAACCAAACACACCAGAUGUACGAGCUCACGUGGGAACUCGCCCGUCAUAAAAAUAAUGCAACACUAUGCUGUUUAAUGCGUCUUAAGUGCUGAUCUAUCCCUGUUCUUCUAUUAAAUACAGACCUGAGUAAAGGUGGCUUAAGCGUGCAGAGAUGCAGACAGUGCAGCCAUCAGUCUCACCAUCAGGCUUUAAUGACUGCAGUGAGAGCAGCAUUACAGCUCACACACCCAGACCAUCAAUCACAAACUGUCGCUGCUCGUCACUCACAUAACUUUCCCAUCGCUGAAACUUCUUUCUUGGUGCUCGUAGCUCUUUUUUUGGCAAGAAAUUAGCUUUCAUGAGAGGCCUCAUACAGCAAAUACACACAUUGCAGAGUGAAAAGGAUACAAGACGACUUCAUCUACCAUGAAGUUUGACUGUAGUUGAGAGAUGCAACCUGCAUGAUAUUCUGGGAUGUCUUCAGCUAACAGCUGCAAGGAAAUACCUCAAUAAGGGGACAGAGCCAUUUUUCCUUCACAAUGUUAAUUUCAAAGUUGAAAAGUUAAAGGCUUUUAUUUAAAUAGUCUUUGUUUAAACUGCUGCUGAUUCAGCUCCAAAAAUCAACUCUGUGUAUCAGAGGUGCAUUUUAAGAAGCUUUUUCCAGAAAGUAAUCCUGUCCUGCAUUAAAAGGCCUUAAAUUUAAAGGAUCUAUGAAGUCCCCACCUCCCUCUCACUGCAGCUCAAGCACACCAGUUCACUUCUCUGCUUUAAUACUGUAAAUCUAUUCUGUACUACACAAUAGCAAGUAGUACUAUUGGAGUAAUUCAGCCAUAUGUAUUCAAAUGAGUUCUGAAGAGUAAUAGUGACAUGGAAAUCCCCAAUCUGCUAGUGGAUUGGAUUGAUUCUUUAGGUUUGUUACCUAUGAAACCCAAAACUCCGUGUUUUUACUGCAACUUGAAGGUGGAAAUGCUCAAAACUUGACUUUUACCAGAGCUGGUCUUGAAAAUUUAGAUUUUUUUGUGUCUGGAUGGUGAAGACUGGCAUCAACCCUCUUUUACUUCUGCACUUAAUGCAUGCUUUGUGUCUGAUUUAGCUGUAAUAAAUGAAACCUGUAGUAAGUAAA